rnacentral:tRNA from 1 species
GGGACGGUGCGCCAAAGCGACCAAGCUCAAAUCUUGGUGGUUGCGGGUUCGAAUCCCACUCGUGCCA